rnacentral:rRNA from 1 species
GAUGAACGCUAGCGGGAGGCCUAACACAUGCAAGCCGAGCGGUAUUUGUUCUUCGGAACAGAGAGAGCGGCGCACGGGUGCGGAACACGUGUGCAACCUGCCUUUAUCUGGGGGAUAGCCUUUCGAAAGGAAGAUUAAUACCCCAUAAUAUAUUGAGUGGCAUCAUUUGAUAUUGAAAACUCCGGUGGAUAGAGAUGGGCACGCGCAAGAUUAGAUAGUUGGUGAGGUAACGGCUCACCAAGUCAAUGAUCUUUAGGGGGCCUGAGAGGGUGAUCCCCCAGACUGGUACUGAGACCCGGACCAGACUCCUACGGGAGGCAGCAGUGAGGAAUAUUGGACAAUGGGUUAGCGCCUGAUCCAGCCAUCCCGCGUGAAGGACGACGGCCCUAUGGGUUGUAAACUUCUUUUGUAUAGGGAUAAACCUACUCUCGUGAGAGUAGCUGAAGGUACUAUACGAAUAAGCACCGGCUAACUCCGUG